GACGUAGGGGGCAAGCGUUGUCCGGAAUUAUUGGGCGUAAAGCGCUCGUAGGCGGAUCGGUAAGUCUGUGAAGAAAGACCCGGGCUCAACUCGGGGAACGGCAUAGAUACUGCUGAUCUUGAGACAGUCAGAGGAUGAUGGAAUUCCAGGUGUAGCGGUGAAAUGCGUAGAUAUCAGGAGGAACACCGAUGGCGAAGGCAGGUCUCUGGGCAUUAACUGACGCUGAGGAGCGAAAGCAUGGGGAGCGAACAGG
rnacentral:rRNA from 1 species